ACCUCUAAUCACUAGAAAUUAAUUAUCUUAUUGCAUAGACUUCAAAUGGUGCUUCCACUUGUUUCUACUGAAAAUAGACUCACUAAGGAUUCUAUACAAUUUUUAAUGAUUUUCUAAAGUCAGAACAGGGGACUCUAAAAACCAUUCUUACCCUGUCUCACUAAAAUUAAAAUAUCUCAUAAUAUAAAAUUCCUUUGCCUGGAAUGUUUGUUUCAUAUGAAAAUAGACUCAAUAAGAAUUAAUUAUAUAUCUCAUUCACUCUCUAAUUUCAUUUCUACUAAUUUUUGUGAUUUUUCAAAUUCACAUCACUGCUGCUG
rnacentral:lncRNA from 1 species